UACGAAGGGGGCUAGCGUUGCUCGGAAUCACUGGGCGUAAAGCGCACGUAGGCGGGUUGUUAAGUCGGGGGUGAAAUCCUGGAGCUCAACUCCAGAACUGCCUUCGAUACUGGCGACCUUGAGUCCGGGAGAGGUGAGUGGAACUCCGAGUGUAGAGGUGAAAUUCGUAGAUAUCAAGCGGAACACCGGUGGCGAAGGCGGCCUUCUGGACAGUGACUGACGCUGAGACGCGAAAGCGUGGGGAGCAAACAGG
rnacentral:rRNA from 1 species